GACGAACGCUGGCGGCGUGCUUAACACAUGCAAGUCGAACGGAAAGGCCCUGCUUUUGUGGGGUGCUCGAGUGGCGAACGGGUGAGUAACACGUGAGUAACCUGCCCUUGACUUUGGGAUAACUUCAGGAAACUGGGGCUAAUACCGGAUAGGAGCUCCUGCUGCAUGGUGGGGGUUGGAAAGUUUCGGCGGUUGGGGAUGGACUCGCGGCUUAUCAGCUUGUUGGUGGGGUAGUGGCUUACCAAGGCUUUGACGGGUAGCCGGCCUGAGAGGGUGACCGGGCACCGUGGGGACGGGUUGCGCGCCGGGCUCCUGCGGGGAGCCGCAGGGGGGGAUUAUUGAACAAGGGGCGGAGGCUGUAUGCACCACCCCCGCGUGGGGGAGGACGCCCUUCGGUUUUAAACCCGUUUCCGCCGGUGACGAAGGGGGAGUGAGGGUAAGGGAUAAAGAGCCACCGCCUACCUAGGUC
rnacentral:rRNA from 1 species